rnacentral:misc_RNA from 1 species
UACAGUACCAAUAUCGAUCAACUGAAACAGGAAAAUGAAAAUGCACUGAAAUUGGCGGAUGCGGCUCACGCCCGAGAACAAGUUGCGCAAGAAAAAAUCGCGAGUCUUCGGAUAACGGUGACUAAAUUGAGCGACGAAUUAGAGCAGAAAAACAAACAAAUGGGAAUGGAGGAAAAAGGUUCGGCGACGAGCAAACAAAAAGAAGGACUUUUGAAAGAGCGAGAAAAAAUGUUGAACGAAAUAGAAUCACUACGUCAACGUAUCGCGAACGCUACUACAGCGAAUGAGGAAUUGGAAAGGAA